UACGAAGGGGGCUAGCGUUGUUCGGAAUUACUGGGCGUAAAGCGUGCGCAGGCGGCUUCUCAAGUCAGGGGUGAAAGCCCAGAGCUCAACUCUGGAAUUGCCUUUGAGACUGAGUGGCUUGAGUACGAGAGAGGUGAGUGGAACUGCGAGUGUAGAGGUGAAAUUCGUAGAUAUUCGCAAGAACACCGGUGGCGAAGGCGGCGACCUGGUCCUUGACUGACGCUGAGGCGCGAAAGCGUGGGGAGCAAACAGG
rnacentral:rRNA from 1 species